rnacentral:rRNA from 1 species
UACAGAGGUCCCAAGCGUUGUUCGGAUUCACUGGGCGUAAAGGGUGCGUAGGCGGUCGGGUAAGUCUGAUGUGAAAUCUCACAGCUUAACUGUGAAACUGCAUUGGAUACUAUCCGGCUCGAGGAAUGGAGGGGAGACUGGAAUACUUGGUGUAGCAGUGAAAUGCGUAGAUAUCAAGUGGAACACCAGUGGCGAAGGCGAGUCUCUGGACAUUUCCUGACGCUGAGGCACGAAAGCUGGGGGAGCGAACAGG